CCUACGGGUGGCAGCAGUGGGGAAUAUUGCACAAUGGGGGAAACCCUGAUGCAGCGAAGCCGCGUGAGUGAAGAAGCGCCUCGGCGCGUAAAGCUCUGUCAGCAGGAGAGAUAAUGACGGUACCUGAAGCAGAAGCCCCGGCUAAAUACGUGCCAGCAGCCGCGGUAAUACGUAGGGAGCAGGCGUUAUCCGGAUUUACUGGGUGUAAAGGGAGCGUAGACGGCGGGGCAAGUCUGGAGUGAGAGGCCGGGGCCCAACCCCGGGACCGCGGUUGAAACCGCCCGGCUGGAGUGCGGGAGAGGUAAGCGGAAUGCCGAGUGUAGCGGUGAAAUGCGUAGAUAUUAGGAGGAACACCAGCGGCGAAGGCGGCGUACCGGACCGUGACUGACGUUGAGGCUCGAAAGCGUGGGGAGCGAACAGGAUUAGAUACCCCUGUAGUC
rnacentral:rRNA from 1 species